CAGCAUCCAUCCAUCGAAAUCAAGGUAUGACUAAGUCAGGCAGGUUUCAUCUAUCUCCCUUUGACGGACUACCUCCCCCUAUUGAUGACCUUUGCCAUCGAUUAUGGCGUAUUGCAGCGUUCUGGUUUCUCCCCCUGGAAGCCCGGAGAACGGUAGCCUACACGGGUCUACCCUAAUCGAUCAUCCACCCCAUUGCCGAGUGGAUCCGCUGCUAGGGAUCGACCAGACUCUCCUACUGGUCGGUGUGACCUUGACUCUGUGCCAGGUCUGAGGAUGCCCUCCGUCGUCACCCCUUAUAACGUGUUACCCGCGUUCGGACUACGUCGGUACGGCGCACAUACUUCUUCCGGAAGCCCAACAUUUCAUGAAAGUCGCCCCUCCUUCCGCUAUUCCAAUUAUUGGAACAGCUAACUGCAAUGGGCGUCUUCUUCGUGGCCGAUUGAGGCACGGUCGUCGGCGCCAUUAUGCCUCCCACGUUCGCAAUUAGCCUUAAUGACCCGCAUUUCGCGUGCGUCCGCCAGACAGUUCAGCCUACAGUGAAAUCCCCGGGCUCAACCUGGGACUGCAUUCGAAACUGGCAGGCUAGAGUCUUGUAGAGGGGGGUAGAAUUCCAGGUGUAGCGGUGAAAUGCGUAGAGAUCUGGAGGAAUACCGGUGGCGAAGGCGGCCCCCUGGACAAAGACUGACGCUCAGGUGCGAAAGCGUGGGGAGCAAACAGGAUUAGAUACCCUGGUAGUCCACGCCGUAAACGAUGUCGACUUGGAGGUUGUGCCCUUGAGGCGUGGCUUCCGGAGCUAACGCGUUAAGUCGACCGCCUGGGGAGUACGGCCGCAAGGUUAAAACUCAAAUGAAUUGACGGGGGCCCGCACAAGCGGUGGAGCAUGUGGUUUAAUUCGAUGCAACGCGAAGAACCUUACCUACUCUUGACAUCCAGAGAACUUUCCAGAGAUGGAUUGGUGCCUUCGGGAACUCUGAGACAGGUGCUGCAUGGCUGUCGUCAGCUCGUGUUGUGAAAUGUUGGGUUAAGUCCCGCAACGAGCGCAACCCUUAUCCUUUGUUGCCAGCGGUUAGGCCGGGAACUCAAAGGAGACUGCCAGUGAUAAACUGGAGGAAGGUGGGGAUGACGUCAAGUCAUCAUGGCCCUUACGAGUAGGGCUACACACGUGCUACAAUGGCGCAUACAAAGAGAAGCGACCUCGCGAGAGCAAGCGGACCUCAUAAAGUGCGUCGUAGUCCGGAUUGGAGUCUGCAACUAGAGACCAUGAAGUAGUAAGUGCUAGCUAGCUAGAUUGAGUUCGUGCCUGAGUAAGUUAGUUCUAGCUAGCUAGAGUUUGAUCCUCCCUCCGUAAGUUGGAGCUAGCUAGAUAGUGUCCAGCCUCCCUAA
rnacentral:rRNA from 1 species